UCAGCUGCAGAUCUUCUUACCUUCGUUCAGAUAAUGCAGGCAAGGAUGCAUUACGACGCUAGAGAACCUAAACAAAAACAAAUGGGGGCACAUAGCAAACGAUGACAAAAUAUCGACAAGUCCCUACUUAUGGCAAUGGUUGAUAGGUGGAGGCCAGAGACACAUACAUUCCAUCUACCGUGCGGAGAAAUGACCAUAACUUUGCAGGAUGUGUCCAUGCUCACAGGGCUGCCACUAGCCAGCCAGGCAAUUGUACUUCCGGACCCUCCGGAAGAUUGGAGAGAUGAUAUUGUAUCACGGUAUGCCUGUAUUUUGCCACGGUACGCUACCGGUGAUACAGACGAUGAUGAGGACAAAAUAUUUUUCUCUGAAAAAGAAACUCAUGGCCCCACAUUGAAGUGGUUGUCACAGUUUGAGGUGCGAUAUAUGCCCGACGAUGUCCAGGAGUACCAACUGACGUUGUACCUUGAGGCUUAUCUACUUUGGCUGUUUGGUUGGGUCAUGUUCACCGGCUCGCACGGGAACACUGUGGACGCCAGGCUAAUCCCCCUUGCUCGCCAAAUUACUGAAGGUAAUAUAGCGCCUUCUGCACAGUUUAGCUGGGGAUCAGCCGUCCUUGCCGCCACAUAUCGUGGAUUCUGCGACGCUUGUAUUAAGACCGGACAAAGGGAGGCAAUUUUCACGAGGUGUCCACUUUUGGUCAUGUUGUGGUCGUACGAGCGCUUCUCGUUCGAACGUCCAUACAUGAGCGUGGCCGUGGCCCACAAGGACGAUUACACUGACGCAGUUGAUGAUCGUCCUACCUUCGGUACUCGCUGGUGCUACGGACUGCCAUAGUGGGCGAGAAUCCAGGUGCACAAUGUGUACGAGUACUUUACCGAGGCGUUCGAAAGCCUUAGGGAAAACAAAGUUCGGUGGACUCCGUACACGAACGAAGAGGCCAUUUUGCGUGCACCACAUGGAGUAAGCAUCUUAUGCUACCGCGAUGAACCGUACUGGAUGACACAAAAAAUGCUGGUGUACGACAUAUUCGUCGAGGGGUAUAAUGUUCAAGGGUAAUGCGUCAGAUGGGACUGUACCAACAAGUCCCAAUUCCUGUUGGACUUCACCUUCCACCAGAUGUGCACAUGCAAAAGAGGCAAGCUGACAGCAAGUAUCAUCGAUCUAUGCACUCAAGGAUGACCCCAUGGAUAGAGGCAUGGUCACAGGCCUUGAAUGAUGUCGUCCAGGAGACCAGGGCAUACGACCACAACAAUUACGAACUAUACAUGGCCUGGUACUCAUCGCAGACUCGCAUCCGGCUGCUUGCACCCAAGGAUCCCGACAAGCGAGGUCCACCAACAAUUGAUCAAAUAUAUGAUAUGCAGCUAGCACCCUCCACUCACUUGACGAUACUACUACCAUUUAAAUAUUUCGUUGCAUCGGUGUGUCCUUAUACAUGGGGUUCCACUUUCUAACAUUGUUGCUACGCUCCAUGCAGACCGACAUUGCAGGGGAAUUAAAAAGGGAUGCGAAAACAUUGUGGAAGAAGCUUAGAGAUGGAAUGGCGGGUACCAACCAGGAAGUUAUGGCCGCGGUUGACUCCCUCCGUCGAAAAGGAAAGCGAAUCAUGCGGCUCGCAUCGUGCCGACAUUCCUCGGACGUCUAUACUCCGGCAACAUCAAGAAGGACGUUCGAGACAAUGCCGGAGCGUCCCUCUACCUCUUCCCGGCCGUCCACCUCAGCCCGCCCUUCAGCCUCCGCGCGACGAUCCAGUGAUGGUUGUGCAGGAGUAAGGUCAACUUCGUUUCGUGAGCCACACCUAUUCCGACUAUCCCAGAAAUCGCUGAAAUUUCGGAACGCCUAGGAGGCUUUGGUACAACUCAAGCACAACCGGAACAGGUACCCCCACAUAGCUCUACGCCCAUCACCUCUCAAUGGCAGGGUGGGUUUGCGUCGUUUACUGAGGGAACGUGAAUGGUCUGUCCCGUGCCUCAUAUGCCUCCUGCAAGGCCACAAAUGAUUCCUCAAAUGGCUCCCGAUGUGCCAACCUCACACUGGCAAGGAGGAUUUGCACCUUUUGCAGGGACUAGCCAAGGUAUCCCUACCAUACCCCAAUUGUCUGCAGAUUUUAUCGGUCAAGGAGGGUUUACGUCGUUAGGCGGGCCUACUCAGUCGGUUCCACUGCAUCCACCUACAUAUGGCACCAACUCAUGGCAAGGACAAUCCAUGGAUUACGAUGGUACACACAGCCAUCAUUCUCCAUACACAUAUAUCGAUGGCACUUUCAUACCUUACAUGACUCCCACUUCAACUUAAGACAAUAACUCCGUGACAUUUUAUAUGGAUGCAAAGCACGUCGUUUGAUGGUGGAGUACAGGGUUAUAUGGACUUGUUGCAACAAGGUGAUUGGCUAUUUGGUCAAUAUUCCUCGCAUCCUAAUGAAAUUCCAUAUAUGCAAGCACCGUCAACAGGGUCAUUUCGCCCUGAACCAAUGUCAGGGUUUAGGCCUUACACUGCAUCGUACGGCGACAUGUCCAGCUUCGGUGGAGGGUCGUCACCGGUACCCAAUGAGCCUCAGACUUCACAAACUGAUGAUGCGCCCCCUGUGACAUAGGCCACACAACCAGAGGUUGGCGAAGGAAAUGACAAUGACCCGCGUAGAUCUAACCGUGAGCGCCAUGAGCCAAACCGUAUGUCACUCUCAGGCCCUCGACAUGCCGCAGGACAAAGGAAAAAAACUACAAAAAAGCGAGGUGAAACAUCUAGGACUACGACUGACCAUGACGAUGAUGACGAGUAGAACUGAACAUUAUGUCUUUCAGUUCACUGGCAACCCUAUCUGAACCUUGCUGUGAUUUUGGCUUAUUCUUCAUGUUAUUUGUACUGCAAUGAACAUUAUUUAUUUGUACUGCUUAUUCUU